UGGGGAAUAUUGCACAAUGGGCGAAAGCCUGAUGCAGCAACGCCGCGUGAGUGAUGAAGGCCUUCGGGUCGUAAAGCUCUUUGAUCAGGGAUGAUAAUGACAGUACCUGAAAAACAAGCCACGGCUAACUACGUGCCAGCAGCCGCGGUAAUACGUAGGGGGCGAGCGUUGUCCGGAUUUACUGGGCGUAAAGGGUGCGUAGGCGGUCUUUUAAGCCAGAAGUGAAAGGCUACGGCUCAACCGUAGCAAGCUUUUGGAACUGUAAGACUUGAGUGCAGGAGAGGAGAGUGGAAUUCCUAGUGUAGCGGUGAAAUGCGUAGAUAUUAGGAGGAACACCAGUAGCGAAGGCGGCUCUCUGGACUGUAACUGACGCUGAGGCACGAAAGCGUGGGGAGCAAACAGG
rnacentral:rRNA from 1 species